rnacentral:rRNA from 1 species
ACUCGUAGACUCCUACGGGAGGCAGCAGUGGGGAAUAUUGCACAAUGGGCGCAAGCCUGAUGCAGCCAUGCCGCGUGUGUGAAGAAGGCCUUCGGGUUGUAAAGCACUUUCAGUAGGGAGGAAGGUGGUGUUGUUAAUAGCAGCAUUGUUUGACGUUAGCUGCAGAAGAAGCACCGGCUAACUCCGUGCCAGCAGCCGCGGUAAUACGGAGGGUGCGAGCGUUAAUCGGAAUUACUGGGCGUAAAGCGCAUGCAGGUGGUUUGUUAAGUCAGAUGUGAAAGCCCGGGGCUCAACCUCGGAAUUGCAUUUGAAACUGGCAAACUAGAGUACUGUAGAGGGGGUAGAAUUUCAGGUGUAGCGGUGAAAUGCGUAGAGAUCUGAAGGAAUACCGGUGGCGAAGGCGGCCCCCUGGACAGAUACUGACACUCAGAUGCGAAAGCGUGGGGAGCAAACAGGAUUAGAUACCCUGGUAG